CCAGCCUCACCCAGACUCUGCCUCCAGUGGCCCCCAGACUCCACGAUCUGUUAACACCAUUGAAUGACGAAGAUCUUGAUGAGAAAAUGACACAAAUUCUGCAACACCAGCCAAACUGUGGAUACAAAAUGAUGCUUCGGCACCUGAACUCACAGGGCAUCCACAUACAGAGAUUCCAUGCGGCGUGUGGAUCCUCGUGGAGUUUUGAUGCGGACCCUUCAGCUGAAUCCACGGAGACGGAGGAGGUACUCUGUGCCAGAACCAAACAGUUUGUGGCACAUAGAUGGCAAUCACAAACUGAUAAGGU